rnacentral:tRNA from 1 species
GUGCCUGUAGCAUAGCUGGCCUAAUGCGUCGGGUUGUGGUUCCGAAGAUCGCGAGUUCGAAUCUCGUCAGGCACCCCA